GACGAACGCUGGCGGCGUGCCUAAUACAUGCAAGUAGGACGCAGUUGCGAACGGGGGAGUAACGCGUAGGUAACUACCUAUUAGAGGGGGAUAACUAUUGGAAACGAUAGCUAAUACCGCAUACUAGUAGAUGGACCUGCGUUGUAUUAGCUAGUAGGUAGGGUAAUGGCCUACCUAGGCAACGAUACAUAGACGACCUUGAGGGGAUGUCGGCCACACUGGGAACGAGGAACGGCCCAGACUCCUACGGGAGGCAGCAGUAGGGAAUCUUCGGAAAUGGGGGGAACCCUGACCGAGCACCGCCGCGUGAGUGAAGAAGGUUUUCGGAUCGUAAAGCUCUGUUGUUAAGGAAGCGGUACUUAACCAGAAAGGGACGGCUAACUACGUGCCAGCAGCCGCGGUAAUUC
rnacentral:rRNA from 1 species